CAUCGAUUUUUUUUUACGUUUUUUUUUUGUUUUCGUCUUUUGUUUUAUUUUCCGCCAACCAGAAUUAUGACGUGGCUAAGAUUGUGAAUGAGAAGGGCUGCUUGCAAGCUGUUGAGGAAUGGAUCGAACGGAAUAUGAUUUCUUUAGCGAGUUUUGCAAUUAUUAUUUUAUUUUUCCAAAUCUUGGGUAUUUGCUUUGCGCAAAACCUGCGGGCCGACAUCUUCGCCCAGAAGUCCAAAUGGCAUUGACACCCGAGGGCUCCCACGGCGGUGUAGUACAGCCUUCCGUGUCGCAUCGCGUGGGAACCCUUAAAUUUCGACCAACUGGACUUCGUUUGAUCAACCGCAUCCAUCCAACGCAAACCAACCAACAAACUCAUCAUUUCCGGGAAAACUCUUAUCCCCACAACUCAAGAAGAAGGAGAAAAACAAGUUAAAAGUAAACUAGUUAUUAGUGAUUUUAAAGACGAGGUUCUUUCACAGCCUCAUUGUUGAAACAAUAUAUUUUGUAAAUUGUAUAAAACCGGAAUUUGUCUCCGAUCCGCGGUUCGAUUUGUCUUGUUUAUUGUGAGCCGUCGAUCGGAGUUUGGUAGUUUCUAAGAGAUUUUCUUUUUUUGAUAUAACCGAUCGGAACGAAUCCGCGCGUCAAUCCAGAUUUGUGCAAAUUUUGGUUCGUUCCAUCGAGGUGGAGGAGGAGACAAAAUAAUAGUGAGAUAUUUUGGAAUACCUUUGCAUGUAAUUAACCUUUCUUCUCUCUGAAUAGAAGCUCCUAUUAUGGUAGAAUAGUUUUUUUCUUGGGAGUUCGAACCGGACAAGUGAAGAUGAAGAAUUUCGAAUCUUACUAUAAUAAUAAUAAUGAUAUUUAAUCCUCUUGAUAUUACGGAACGUACUAAUUAAACAUGUGAUAUUUUCUUUCUAAUUUAAAUUAA